rnacentral:lncRNA from 1 species
ACAUUUUAAAUAAAUGGGUCUAUCAGUAAAUAUGAUGGGUUUUAACACAUAAUUAGGAUUAGAAAAGAAAUGAAAAUAACUUAAAAUCAUUUGCAAAAUCUAUACAUCUAUAAUACAUCAAAAGCAAAUCCAAAUAUGCAUCUACAAAUACGUAAUCAAACAUAAAAAAGAUAAAAAAAAAAACGAAAUCAAAUUUCACUAGUCAAACCAAAAUAUUACAAACCUAUAAAUCAAAAAUAUUUUUAGUAAAAUUAAUUGAAGUUUCAAUUAUAUACUAAGAAUAGGUUACCAAUAUGAUACUAGUGAAGUCAGUGUUUAUUAAAAAGUUAAUUUAUCAGCUAAAAUGAUUACUUGUUUCUUAUUUUAUUUAAUUUUUAAACGAAAUAAACACAAACCUGUGCACUAAAUAUGUAUCAUUAUAAUAUUUUUAAGAUAAUUCCCACCAUUUGCCACUUUUCC